ensembl:lncRNA KMT2CP1 lysine methyltransferase 2C pseudogene 1
AAAGGCUUGCUGAUAGCGUUCACAGUGACAGCCCGAAAGUAUGAUUCUAAGGGCCAUGGGUCUGGAUUUCCAGGAAAGCGGAGACCUCGAGGUGCAGGACUGUCGGGGCGAGGUGGCCGAGGCAGGUCAAAGCUGAAAAGUGGAAUCGGAGCUGUUGUAUUGCCUGGGGUGUCUACUGCAGAUAUUUCAUCAAAUAAGGAUGAUGAAGAAAACUCUGUGCUCGAUAUGGUUGUGUUGUUUUCUAGCAGUGACAAAUUCACUUUGAAUCAGGAUACAUGUGUAGUUUGUGGCAGUUUUGGCCAAGGAGCAGAAGGAAGAUUACUUGCCUGUUCUCAGUGUGGUCAGUGUUACCAUCCAUACUGUGUCAGUAUUAAGGUGUGUUUGGUGCAGACACUGUGGAGCAACAUCUGCAGGUCUAAGAUGUGAAUGGCAGAACAAUUACACACAGUGCGCUCCUUGUGCAAGUUUAUCUUCCUGUCCAGUCUGCUAUUGAAACUAUAGAGAAGAAGAUCUUAUUCUGCAAUGAAGACAAUGUGAUAGACAGAGUCUUGCUCUGUCGCCAGGCUGGAGUGCAUCGGCGCUAUCUCGGCUCACUGCAAACUCCACCUCCGCCUCCUGGGUUCAAGCGAUUCUCCUGCCUCAGCCUCCGGAGUAGCAGGGACUACAGAUGGAUGCAUGCAGUUCGUCAGAACUUAAAUACUGAGGAAGAAGUGGAAAAUGUAGCAGACAUUGGUUUUGAUUGUAACAUGUGCAGACCCUAUAUGCCUGCGUCUAAUGUGCCUUCCUCAGACUGCUGUGGAUCUUCACUUGUAGCACAAAUUGUCACAAAAACCCACCCAAGACUUAUACCCAGGAUGGUGUGUGUUUGACUGAAUCAGGGAAGACUCAGUUACAGAGCCUCACAGUUACAGUUCCAAGAAGAAAACUGUCAAAACCAAAACUGAAAUUGAAGAUUAUAAAUCAGAAUAGCGUGGCCGUCCUUCAGACCCCUCCAGACAUCCAAUCAGAACAUUCAAGGGAUGGUGAUAUGGAUGAUAGUCGAGACACAGCCGCUGUCGCUGCCAUGUGGCGCGCCGCAGACUCCCGAGAACAGCCCUGGCUGUCAGCGGGCACCAGCCGCUUCCUGUGCCCAUCGCGUAGACUG